rnacentral:snoRNA from 1 species
UAGCAGGAUAUCUACUGUGCAGCUAGUGUGGUGCUGUAUUGUCGUUCCCCCUGCUAAAAGUAACAUGUCUCCAGCUAUCCCUGUCUGUUGGCUUUACCCAACUGCUAGGGACGCAAGGUCUCAGACAC